rnacentral:rRNA from 1 species
UAACACAUGCAAGUCGAACGGUAGCACAGAGGAGCUUGCUCCUUGGGUGACGAGUGGCGGACGGGUGAGUAAUGUCUGGGAAACUGCCCGAUGGAGGGGGAUAACUACUGGAAACGGUAGCUAAUACCGCAUAACGUCGCAAGACCAAAGAGGGGGACCUUCGGGCCUCUUGCCAUCGGAUGUGCCCAGAUGGGAUUAGCUAGUAGGUGGGGUAACGGCUCACCUAGGCGACGAUCCCUAGCUGGUCUGAGAGGAUGACCAGCCACACUGGAACUGAGACACGGUCCAGACUCCUACGGGAGGCAGCAGUGGGGAAUAUUGCACAAUGGGCGCAAGCCUGAUGCAGCCAUGCCGCGUGUAUGAAGAAGGCCUUCGGGUUGUAAAGUACUUUCAGCGAGGAGGAAGGCGUUGUGGUUAAUAACCGCAGCGAUUGACGUUACUCGCAGAAGAAGCACCGGCUAACUCCGUGCCAGCAGCCGCGGUAAUACGGAGGGUGCAAGCGUUAAUCGGAAUUACUGGGCGUAAAGCGCACGCAGGCGGUCUGUCAAGUCGGAUGUGAAAUCCCCGGGCUCAACCUGGGAACUGCAUCCGAAACUGGCAGGCUAGAGUCUUGUAGAGGGGGGUAGAAUUCCAGGUGUAGCGGUGAAAUGCGUAGAGAUCUGGAGGAAUACCGGUGGCGAAGGCGGCCCCCUGGACAAAGACUGACGCUCAGGUGCGAAAGCGUGGGGAGCAAACAGGAUUAGAUACCCUGGUAGUCCACGCCGUAAACGAUGUCGACUUGGAGGUUGUGCCCUUGAGGCGUGGCUUCCGGAGCUAACGCGUUAAGUCGACCGCCUGGGGAGUACGGCCGCAAGGUUAAAACUCAAAUGAAUUGACGGGGGCCCGCACAAGCGGUGGAGCAUGUGGUUUAAUUCGAUGCAACGCGAAGAACCUUACCUACUCUUGACAUCCAGAGAACUUAGCAGAGAUGCUUUGGUGCCUUCGGGAACUCUGAGACAGGUGCUGCAUGGCUGUCGUCAGCUCGUGUUGUGAAAUGUUGGGUUAAGUCCCGCAACGAGCGCAACCCUUAUCCUUUGUUGCCAGCGGUUAGGCCGGGAACUCAAAGGAGACUGCCAGUGAUAAACUGGAGGAAGGUGGGGAUGACGUCAAGUCUUCAUGGCCCUUACGAGUAGGGCUACACACGUGCUACAAUGGCAUAUACAAAGAGAAGCGACCUCGCGAGAGCAAGCGGACCUCAUAAAGUAUGUCGUAGUCCGGAUUGGAGUCUGCAACUCGACUCCAUGAAGUCGGAAUCGCUAGUAAUCGUGGAUCAGAAUGCCACGGUGAAUACGUUCCCGGGCCUUGUACACACCGCCCGUCACACCAUGGGAGUGGGUUGCAAAAGAAGUAGGUAGCUUAACCUUCGGGAGGGCGCUUACCACUUUGUGAUUCAUGACUGGGGUG